ACGACGCUGGCGGCGUGCCUAACACAUGCAAGUCGAGCGAGGAGAUUCCCUUCGGGGAUGAACCUAGCGGCGGACGGGUGAGUAACACGUGGGCAACCUGCCUUAUAGAGGGGAAUAGCCUUCCGAAAGGAAGAUUAAUACCGCAUAACAUUACAUUUUUCGCAUGAAGAAGUAAUUAAAGGAGUAAUCCGCUAUAAGAUGGGCCCGCGGCGCAUUAGCUAGUUGGUGAGGUAACGGCUCACCAAGGCGACGAUGCGUAGCCGACCUGAGAGGGUGAUCGGCCACAUUGGGACUGAGACACGGCCCAGACUCCUACGGGAGGCAGCAGUGGGGAAUAUUGGGCAAUGGGCGAAAGCCUGACCCAGCGACGCCGCGUGAGGGAAGAAGGUCUUCGGAUUGUAAACCUUAGUUAUCGGGGAAGAAGCAAGUGACGGUACCCGAAGAGAAAGCCACGGCUAACUACGUGCCAGCCGCCGC
rnacentral:rRNA from 1 species